AUAAAGCUAUAUGCUAAUAACUGACUCAUAAUCAGUUGGUCCCUGGUUCGAGCCCAGGUGGGACCACCA
rnacentral:tRNA from 1 species